rnacentral:rRNA from 1 species
GACGAACGCUGGCGGCGUGCUUAACACAUGCAAGUCGAACGGAAAGGCCCUGCUUUUGUGGGGUGCUCGAGUGGCGAACGGGUGAGUAACACGUGAGUAACCUGCCCUUGACCUUGGGAUAACUUCAGGAAACUGGGGCUAAUACCGGAUAGGAGCUCCUGCUGCAUGGUGGGGGUUGGAAAGUUUCGGCGGUUGGGGAUGGACUCGCGGCUUAUCAGCUUGUUGGUGGGGUAGUGGCUUACCAAGGCUUUGACGGGUAGCCGGCCUGGGAGGGUGACCGGCCACAUUGGGACUGAGAUACGGCCCAGACUCCUACGGGAGGCAGCGGUGGGGAAUAUUGCACAAUGGGCGGAAGCCUGAUGCAGCAACGCCGCGUGCGGGAUGACGGCCUUCGGGUUGUAAACCGCUUUCGCCUGUGACGAAGCGUGAGUGACGGUAAUGGGUAAAGAAGCACCGGCUAACUACGUG